UGGGGAAUAUUGGACAAUGGGCGCAAGCCUGAUCCAGCCAUGCCGCGUGUGUGAAGAAGGCCUUUUGGUUGUAAAGCACUUUAAGCGAGGAGGAGGCUACUUGGAUUAAUACUCUAGGAUAGUGGACGUUACUCGCAGAAUAAGCACCGGCUAACUCUGUGCCAGCAGCCGCGGUAAUACAGAGGGUGCGAGCGUUAAUCGGAUUUACUGGGCGUAAAGCGUGCGUAGGCGGCUUUUUAAGUCGGAUGUGAAAUCCCUGAGCUUAACUUAGGAAAUGCAUUAGAUACUGGGAAGCUAGAGUAUGGGAGAGGAUGGUAGAAUACCAGGUGUAGCGGGGAAAUGCGUAGAGAAGUGGAGGAAUACCGGUGGCGAAGGCAGCCAUCUGGACUAAUACUGACGCUGAGGUACGAAAGCAUGGGGAGCAAACAGG
rnacentral:rRNA from 1 species